CGUGAUGUGUGAUGCGUGUCGCGCACCUGGACUGUUUUUUUAAAAGUAGAGGCUAUGGGAAAAGUGUUCAUUUGACAUGCAGGUGGCUUCCGUGUCCCCUGCAGGGAACCAGCUGGCCGCUCAACACCCAGGAUGAAAUAGAGGCUUCAGAGCACAGGGAUGGGUUGCCAGCCCUGCUUGCAGCAAGACCCCAGCCACUUCCUCCUAGAGGAAACGGAGAGGGGGCCAGACAGCUUCUCAAGGCAGGCAAGGAGCUACAGAAACGCUGCAGACAAGCCGAACAAAAGAGCUGCUUAGUAACUGAGUCCUGCCUGUGGUGCUCAGAUUGCCACAGCUGGCACAGUCUGGCCAAAAGCAGGCUGCCACCCCCACACCUGCAGGUAUCUCCUCUCCAUCCAAGCGGCCUCUUAGCAACCGCCCUGGCUCCGCACAUCUGCUAAAAGCAGCAAAGGUACAAAGGAACCUUGGAGGCAGGCAGAGAGCAGAGGCAGAGCGGACCGGAUCCUACAAGAGCUGGCAGCUCAGCAGGCAGGGCCAGCGGCUGGUGCUCAGUAGCAGAGCCCCAGCUGCUAUGGUUGCCUCUUGGCUUCUUGCUGGACCAGGAGAGCCUCCUUUGGUAUCCAGUCUGCACCGAUAAAGCACCGAGCCUUGCUCCCUGAUACGCACAGGUUCCAAAUGGUCUUUGCCACCAGCAUCGCAGCCUGCAGACAGAGGUGAACAUCCUACCAAGGGCCAGGAAUAACCUGUGGUCGCACAAGCAGAAGCUUCUGGCUGGUGGGGGCGGCAGAAACCACAGUACUCAACUUCCUUGGAGGGAAAGAAAACCUGGAGGGGAAUACAAAUUUCUUCCUGGAAAACACAUUUCCCUUCCUGCCCUCCCUGCACCCUCGGAUAAAUACAUGAGCACGCAGCGAUUUGCCAACAGCAGCUCCAGGCAUGAAGCACAACAUCUGUUAGCGAGACGCUGGAGAGACAGUGGAAGGCAUGCUGGCUGCCUGCCCACCUUCAGACUCCAGAUUUUUGCUGACAAGGCUGUCAAUAAAUGGGCAGAUGGCAUGGGCUCUGCUGGCGGGAGAGUUCAGUUAACCCGACACCAGACAUUAUCUCCAGUUCAUGGUGCACUGGGCUGAGCCCUUCGCUGGACCAUUAAAGCCGUUCCUUGAUGAA
rnacentral:sRNA from 1 species